UACGUAGGCAGCGAGCGUUUGUUCGGAAUUACUGGGCGUAAAGAGUGUGUAGGCGGUGCUCUAAGUUCGGUGUGAAAUCUCCUGGCUCAACUGGGAGGGUGCGCCGGAAACUGGAGUGCUUGAGCGUGGGAGAGGAAAGCGGAAUUCCACGUGUAGCGGUGAAAUGCGCAGAUAUCAGGAGGAACACCGGUGGCGAAGGCGGGUCUCUGGGCAGUUACUGACGCUGAGGAGCGAAAGCAUGGGGAGCGAACAGG
rnacentral:rRNA from 1 species